GCCGCCCGCUCUCUUCUUUCUUAACACAUGCGAGUCGAACGGAAAGGCCCUGCCUUUGUGGGGUGCUCGAGUGGCGAACGGGUGAGUAACACGUGAGUAACCUGCCCUUGACUUUGGGAUAACUCCAGGAAACUGGGGCUAAUACCGGAUAGGAGCCCCUGCUGCAUGGUGGGGGUUGGAAAGUUUCGGCGGUUGGGGAUGGACUCGCGGCUUCUCAGCUUGUUGGUGGGGUAGUGGCUUACCAAGGCUUUGACGGGUAGCCGGCCUGAGAGGGUGACCGGCCACAUUGGGACUGAGAUACGGCCCAGACUCCUACGGGAGGCAGCAGUGGGGAAUAUUGCACAAUGGGCGGAAGCCUGAUGCAGCGACGCCGCGUGCGGGAUGACGGCCUUCGGGUUGUAAACCGCUUUCGCCUGUGACGAAGCGUGAGUGACGGUAAUGGGUAAAGAAGCAACGGCUAACUACGUG
rnacentral:rRNA from 1 species